rnacentral:rRNA from 1 species
CUGACCCUACGGGGGGCAGCAGUCGGGAAUAUUGCGCAAUGGAGGAAACUCUGACGCAGUGACGCCGCGUAUAGGAAGAAGGUUUUCGGAUUGUAAACUAUUGUCGUUAGGGAAGAUAAAAGACAGUACCUAAGGAGGAAGCUCCGGCUAACUACGUGCCAGCAGCCGCGGUAAUACGUAGGGAGCAAGCGCUAUCCGGAUUUAUUGGGUGUAAAGGGCGUGUAGGCGGGAAUGCAAGUCAGAUGUGAAAACUAUGGGCUCAACCCAUAGCCUGCAUUUGAAACUGUAUUUCUUGAGUGCUGGCG